GAUGAACGCUGGCGGCGUGCCUAAUACAUGCAAGUCGAGCGAACAGAUGAGGAGCUUGCUCCUCUGACGUUAGCGGCGGACGGGUGAGUAACACGUGGAUAACCUACUUAUAAGACUGGGAUAACUUCGGGAAACCGGAGCUAAUACCGGAUAAUAUAUUGAACCGCAUGGUUCAAUAGUGAAAGACGGUUUUGCUGUCACUUAUAGAUGGAUCCGCGCCGCAUUAGCUAGUUGGUAAGGUAACGGCUUACCAAGGCAACGAUGCGUAGCCGACCUGAGAGGGUGAUCGGCCACACUGGAACUGAGACACGGUCCAGACUCCUACGGGAGGCAGCAGUAGGGAAUCUUCCGCAAUGGGCGAAAGCCUGACGGAGCAACGCCGCGUGAGUGAUGAAGGUCUUCGGAUCGUAAAACUCUGUUAUUAGGGAAGAACAAAUGUGUAAGUAACUAUGCACGUCUUGACGGUACCUAAUCAGAAAGCCACGGCUAACUACGU
rnacentral:rRNA from 1 species